CGCAAGACCAAAGAGGGGGACCUUCGGGCCUCUGCCAUCGGAUGUGCCCAGAUGGGAUUAGCUAGUAGGUGGGGUAACGGCUCACCUAGGCGACGAUCCCUAGCUGGUCUGAGAGGAUGACCAGCCACACUGGAACUGAGACACGGUCCAGACUCCUACGGGAGGCAGCAUG
rnacentral:rRNA from 1 species